UAUUAGUAAUUUUUUCUUGACGCGCUCAAUCUUUUCAGGGUUGCUUCGCUCUCAGAUACGAGGCCUUGCGUAUGUGAGAACUCCAGUCUGCAAGUUCCCAAUGGCUAGAAGUUUCAUAUUUUGAAUGGCUGAAUUUCGCUGAACACUCACUGGACCAUGGUUUCUAUUCAAUUGCUGUGAAGACGAGUUUCUUUAGCAACUAGCAAGUGGGAAUAAAGGGUUAAAUAUGAGGAGGAUCUAGAAAGAAGUGCUAUAGGUCUAAUGAGGGAUUUAAGGGCCAGAUGCUGUCAAUUGAUCACUGUAAAUUCUGUCUCCAUAUCAGUUCAGACGCAGGCUGCAGAGUACUUGCCACCAAGAUUACCGGGUCGUGUAAACCCAGUAACAGAGAACAUACCUCACGGCUCAAAGUAUGAGGGUAAGUCGUUGUCGGUCAUGCAAUUUUCGUAGAUUACUCUUAUUGAUUUCAUUUCUGAAAUAGUGAAUGAUGUUUGUUGCCUUUCUUAGCGCUCUGAGUAAAA